ACACUCUUCACUUUAAUGAAGUUUUCCCGUCCGAAGAAUCUGAAACUAGUAUUCUAGAAGGAAGUACUUCUUCAAGCGGUUCUGCAUAUCAAAAGAAGAAAAGACUAAAGCUAACACAAAAAAAGAAGAAAAAGAAAAAUACUAGCAAUUUUGAAACAGCUCACGAACUUCCCAUAGGAAAAACUCCAUCAAAAACGCAACUUAAAAAAAGUAACCAAGAAAGUAGACAGAAAGGAGAAACUUACAUUAAUUCAAAAGGAAAAAUAAUUAAAAGUAAAUGCAUGAAAUCAAACCCAUGUGUUGGAGUUAACUGUGGUAAUAACUGUGGAAAUAUUUCUGAAGAGACGCGUAAUAGUAUUUUUAAACAUUUUUGGGGAUUGGGCAGUAACCAAAGAAGAAAGGAUUGGAUAUCACAAUGUGCUUAUCGUCGUUCAGUUAAAAGGUCAAGUAAAACUGCUGCAAAAAAUAGGUCUCAAGCCAUUGAGUACUAUAUUAACGAAGGGGAAGGUAGACGCAGGGUUUGCCAAAAAUUCUUAAUUGCAACUUUAGAUGUUACGCAGAGAUUUAUUCUCUAUACACUUGACUCUAUGG